UACACAAUCUUUAGACACAAGGAACAAAAGGGCAAUAAGCCCUUCGAGGCCCCAGUAGAGACUACAAUUGAGGGCUAAUGGGCCAUGGAGGGGGGUCUUUCUAGCAGAGGCUAUCUCAGUGUCCUUUAGAGGGUGUGUUAGAAAGAAUCCACUCCAAGCCCCAUUAGAGACUACAAUGGAGUCUAAAAGGCUUGGAAGGGGGUCUUUCUAACAGAGGCCAUCUCAGCGUCCAUUAGAUAUCCCCUGCUGGAAACAGUCGCCUCCAGGCCCCAGUAGAAACUACAAUUGAGGCCUAAUGGGCCAUGGAGGGGAUUUCUAGCAGAGGCUAGAGUCUAAUGGGGCCUGGAGGGUGGUCUCUCCAACACUCUGGUUCCUAUUCACAAUAUAGCAACACAC